rnacentral:rRNA from 1 species
UUAGCUACGUUCGGGAUGGAUAACCGCUGAAAGCAUCUAAGCGGGAAGCCGGCCUCAAGAUGAGAUUUCCAUGACUUUAUGUCGUGAGGGCCGCAGCUAGACUACUGCGUUGAUAGGCCGGAUGUGGAAGUGGUGAAAGCCAUGGAGCUGACCGGUACUAAUAGCCCGAUAACUUGAUAUA